UUCCCAUAUAUAUUGUACACACAAAUUUCAAGUUGAAAAUUAACUUGAAAAUUUUGGGUCAAAUUUUAUUUAUAAUUUUGAAGAGUGUACAAGUUUUGAAUAUCUUUACAAACAAAACUCCUUUGAUUCUUCUCUUCCGUUGACAUCCCCCUCUCAAUUGAUAUGAUGUUCAUCAAAAUUUCUUCUACUUCUUUAGUUUCUUCAAAUAUUUUUGUAAAGAAUUUUUGAACUUCUUGAACUUCUGAAUGUGUAGAAUGACUUGGAGGUCUCAGAAGAAGAAUAGAAGACUUGGAGCAUAGAGCAUAAAGUAGUGAAGAAAAGUCUCCCACUCCACUGAAUUUGCUUCACUGUGGUGGAGCAUGCUCUAUAAUUCAUAUAUUUUGGUAGCAAGUAGUUCGUUCCACCUCAACUUCUACAUCAGGUGGAGCAAGAUGAUUAAAAUCCCUAAAAACAAAGGUGACGAGAUUGAAGAGAAAGAAAAAAAAAAAUCACUUAGAGGGUAAGGAACAACUCUCUCACACCAAGGGAAACUUCAAGCUUGCAAAGACUAGAAGAAAAAGAGAUCUGAAUAAAUUGUCAUAAAUUCUUCAACUAUUUUCUCUAUAGAUUUUUUUUUUUACUUGUUACCAAUGCAAGUUGAUACAUGAAUGGAUGGAGUGAACUUUAUUAAAUUCCUUUCACCGAAGCUGCCAAAUUUUAAGUUUGAAAAAUUAGUUAACUUGCGGUGACUUUUUGGAUGGGAUCCAGACAUUUUUUGCAUGAUAUUUCUGCAUAGAGUUCUAAGAUCUAUCACUUAACUUCGAAACGCACUUUUAUUCACUCAAUUUUGAGUUCAAGAGCUCAAAUUAUGACUGUUUUAAUGAUGACUAUGUGAGCAGAAUUUUUGGACGGGAUUAUUACAAAAAUUAUGAAUAUUUUAGUUUAAAAUUACUUCUUGCUUACAUUAAUUAAAGUUUCAAGAUACUUGAAAAUUUUAUUUGGAUCUACUUAUCUAGCCUAUGUAAAGGCCCCUUCAUGUUCAUUAGAGACGCAAUU